rnacentral:SRP_RNA from 1 species
GCUGGGCGUGGUGGCGCAUGCCUGUAAUCCCAGCUACUCUGGAGGCUGAGGCGGGAGAAUAGCUCGAACCAGGGAAGCUGGAGGUUGCAGUGAGCCGAGAUUACGCCACUGCACUCCAUCCUGGCAACAGAGCAAGACUCUGUCUCAA